GACGAACGCUGGCGGCGUGCCUAAUACAUGCAAGUAGAACGCUGAAGGAGGAGCUUGCUCUUCUGGAUGAGUUGCGAACGGGUGAGUAACGCGUAGGUAACCUGCCUGGUAGCGGGGGAUAACUAUUGGAAACGAUAGCUAAUACCGCAUAAGAGUAGAUGUUGCAUGACAUUUACUUAAAAGGUGCAAUUGCAUCACUACCAGAUGGACCUGCGUUGUAUUAGCUAGUUGGUGGGGUAACGGCUUACCAAGGCGACGAUACAUAGCCGACCGGAGAGGGUGAUCGGCCACACUGGGACUGGGACACGGCCCAGACUCCUACGGGAGGCAGCAGUAGGGAAUCUUCGGCAAUGGACGGAAGUCUGACCGAGCAACGCCGCGUGAGUGAAGAAGGUUUUCGGAUCGUAAAGCUCUGUUGUAAGAGAAGAACGAGUGUGAGAGUGGAAAGUUCACACUGUGACGGUAUCUGACCAGAAAGGGACGGCUAACUACGUG
rnacentral:rRNA from 1 species